GACGAACCGUGCGAACGUUGUUCGGAAUCACUGGGCUUAAAGGGCGCGUAGGCGGACACUCAAGUCGGUGGUGAAAGCCUCCAGCUUAACUGGAGAAGAGCUGUCGAUACUGGGUGUCUCGAGGGGUGUAGGGGUCUGUGGAACUUUGGGUGGAGCGGUGAAAUGCGUAGAGAUCCAAAGGAACGCCGGUGGCGAAAGCGACGGACUGGACACCUUCUGACGCUGAGGCGCGAAAGCCAGGGGAGCAAACGGG
rnacentral:rRNA from 1 species